GCAGAACUGAAGCAGAGUUUAUAGCUAUUGCACGAGGAAUAUGCGAAGGACUGUGGUUAAAAAAAACUUCUAGAAGAAUUGCGGGUUAUAAUAAAGUUCCCAAUCAAACUUUAUUGUGAUAAUAAAGCAGCAGUCAAUAUUUCCUUAAAUCCAGUUCAGCAUGAUCGCACCAAACACAUAGAUGUAGACAGACACUCCAUAAAGGAAAAGGUUGAGGAAUGAACUAUUUGCAUGACCUAUGUUCCUACACAAGAACAAACUGCAGAUAUAUUUAUCAAAGGACUACCUCAACAAAAAUUCGAUGAUUUCAUAUGCAAGUUGAAUAUGAUCAACAUUUACGAUCCAACUUCAGGGAGAGUAUUAAAAUCCCGAAAUUACUGCAGGAAGGAGAUGGAUUGAUUGAAGAAAAUUGGAGGAGAUCCUUCUUACCUUAAUUAGUGUUGUAUAUUAUAUAUUUUUUGAUUUCUUACUAAAUAUAGGGGAUUAGAUUUUUAUUCCUUGUUCAGCUUUCUUUGUAAUAUAUAUAUGGACUCUCUUCAUUGUACAAUUUAAGUGAGAAAUAAUAUAAGUCAAUUUCUCUUCAGUACGUAC
rnacentral:lncRNA from 1 species